CCUACGGGCGGCAGCAGUGAGGAAUAUUGGUCAAUGGACGAGAGUCUGAACCAGCCAAGUAGCGUGAAGGAUGACUGCCCUAUGGGUUGUAAACUUCUUUUAUAAAGGAAUAAAACGAGGCACGUGUGCCUUUUUGCAUGUACUUUAUGAAUAAGGAUCGGCUAACUCCGUGCCAGCAGCCGCGGUAAUACGGAGGAUCCGAGCGUUAUGCGGUUUUAUUGGGUUUCAAGGGAGCGUCGAUGGGUUGUUAAGUCAGUUGUGCAAGUUUGCGGCUCAACCGUAAAAUUGCAAGUGAUACUGGCAGUCUUUCGUACAGUUUCUGUAGGCGGCAUUCGUGGUGUAGCGG
rnacentral:rRNA from 1 species